rnacentral:rRNA from 1 species
AUUGAACGCUGGCGGCAUGCCUUACACAUGCAAGUCGAACGGCAGCGCGGACUUCGGUCUGGCGGCGAGUGGCGAACGGGUGAGUAAUACAUCGGAACGUACCCUGUUGUGGGGGAUAACUAGUCGAAAGAUUAGCUAAUACCGCAUACGACCUGAGGGUGAAAGUGGGGGACCGGAAACGGCCUCAUGCAGCAGGAGCGGCCGAUGUCUGAUUAGCUAGUUGGUGGGGUAAAGGCCCACCAAGGCGACGAUCAGUAGCUGGUCUGAGAGGACGAUCAGCCACACUGGGACUGAGACACGGCCCAGACUCCUACGGGAGGCAGCAGUGGGGAAUGUUGGACAAUGGGGGCAACCCUGAUCCAGCAAUGCCGCGUGUGUGAAGAAGGCCUUCGGGUUGUAAAGCACUUUUGUGCGGAAAGAACUCGCGCUGGUUAAUACCUGGCGGGGAUGACGGUACCGGAAGAAUAAGCACCGGCUAACUACGUG